ensembl:snRNA U6 U6 spliceosomal RNA
GUGCUCACUUUGGUAGCACGUCUUCUAAAUGUGAAGCAAUACAGAGAAGAUUAGUGUGGCCCUUGAACAAGGAUCACAUGAUGAUUUCUGAAGCAUUUCAUAUUUUA